rnacentral:tRNA from 2 species
UGGGGUGUAGCCAAGUGGUAAGGCCACGGACUUUGAAUUCGUCAUUCGCUGGUUCAAAUCCAGCCACCCCAGCCA